GACAGAGGGUGCAAACGUUGUUCGGAAUUACUGGGCGUAAAGCGCGUGUAGGCGGCUCGAUAAGUCGGAUGUGAAAGCCCUGGGCUCAACCUAGGAAGUGCAUUCGAAACUGCUGAGCUUGAGUUCUGGAGAGGAAGGCGGAAUUCUCGGUGUAGAGGUGAAAUACGUAGAGAUUGGGAAGAACACCAGUGGCGAAGGCGGCUAUCUGGACGGUUUCUGACGCUAAGACGCGAAAGCGUGGGGAGCAAACAGG
rnacentral:rRNA from 1 species